GAUAAAGUAAUUUCAACUCUCCCACCACAAAUGGGACGAUCCAGCUGUCUGGUGUCACAAGGAAAAGCAUAAUAGAAAUUGCUCGUGAUCUCAGGCACCAGGUCCAGGAACGAGCUAUUCUGGUGGAAGAACUGAUGUGCGCUGAUCAAAGUCUUUUGCACUGGAACUGCCGUAGAAGUUGCACCAGUUGGUAGCAUAACAUACAAGGACAAGAGAUCAGAUGCUGAGGCCGUGUGCAGGAGGCUGUACAACACUCUUGUUGGGAUUCAGAUGGUUGUCAUUGAAGACUGGUUCAGGAGGACCGUGGAGAUGGAGUGAGAAGAUCUUCGAUUCUAAGGGCGAACUUCCUAGCUCAAUCAUGUUGGGUAGAUCCGCAUGAACGCAUUCUAUUGUUGUCAGCUUGUUGAAUUACCUGUACAUGGACAUCAGCAAGGAACAUUCAUGUAGACU